CACACUCACACACCGUAUUGCUUAGCCAGCCAUAAUCGUGGCAAGGAUGAGAAGUAGUUUGAGAAACGAAACACUUGAAGCGGUCGGGAAUCGACGUAUCAAACCCUCAUCAACACCGUCUCGCGAAGCCAAUAAACGCACUAUUCAGCGCAGCGGACCUCUGUGAGAACACCCGCCUCAUUCCACCGGUGUUUCGUGACAGGGUCGGAAUGUUCUUGUGUGCACACUUUGCAGGCGGCGUCGAUUAACGGCAACGUUAAAGAGCAACACCGAGAAGAAACGCAUCUUCUUCAAAACGGUGCUUUUCGUUUUUCUGAGCGUUAUUUAAAAUAUUGGAGGGAUUUAGGGAAAGGUUAUCUCACCUGGAACACUUUCACAGUACAUAACGUUUACACGCAAAUAAGUUGUGCACGAUCUUUUGCCAAUCGCUAAAAAUUGAUGCUUUAUCUGUAGUACGAACAUGGAAACAACUGGGGUAGGUGAGAGAAAAUCCUGGGAAGAAAUUAGUGACUAUAACUGUUGUUUUGUUGCCAAAAGACGAGACUGCCAGCAGUAGGGAAGUGCUGCAACAGUUUGUGGAAAUAACAGAAUUUCUCAGCCAUCAUCGUUUCUCAGGGUUGAAUAAGAUGCGAGACUGGCGCUGUCUUGAGGAGCGGCAGAAAUCAGCACAGAGGCACAUCGCUUGAUAACUGAACACUUCAUAACCGCCAGUGGAUUCCAAGAUCAGCCCUGCAAAAAUAGUGAGGAAACAGCCAUGUCCACACCAUGGGAUUUUAAACCAUUUCACCAACAGCUUCAGCAAACUGUUUCAAACGUUUCUCGGUCUCAAUGAAAACUGGGCUUAUCUUAAAAGCAAAUCUGCUGCGUGAACCUUAAGAAACUGGAGAGCGACUGCACGGUUUACACAGUCACUCUCCUUGGAAAUUUCUGUUGUGAAGACAAUCAGCCUUGAAAACGUUUUACGUCUUUUCUGCCACCAUCAUCGUUUUUUUUGUGUCUGUGUCAACGGUUUAUUAUACAUUCUCAAUACACACCUAAAAUAGGUGUAGAUAGGGCGUACAUUUUAUAUCCAACAUGACGGAUGACUCUAUUCAUAUCUGAUCUCUUUGAACUAUUUUAAAUUUGCACGCAGGAUUAUCCAUUUGGUAAUUCUUCACAUGCUGAAUGAGGAAACACACAUUCAGUUUAGUUCAGUAAUGUAUAGGCCAUGAAUGAAAUACUGAACAAAAUCAAAAUGAUUCCUCACCAUACUACCCUCAAAAGAGUUCAACAUUCGGAGUAGUCCUGUUAACACAUAAACAAGUGCAGUAGAACAAGAUUAUUUUCUGAGGUUAUUAUUAUUAUUUUUUCACCAAGUGUAUGGAAAUUGUUUAUACUUGUUAAUAAUAGUAAACAUUCAGGGAGCAUUACAGGUCAGGGAAAUCUGCUUAAAGACUAAGUGCCAUUGCUGAAUGUAAGGAGUGUCCAAA